rnacentral:rRNA from 1 species
AAAGAAACCAACAGGGAUUGCCCUAGUAACGGCGAGUGAAGCGGCAACAGCUCAAAUUUGAAAUCUGGCUUCGGCCCGAGUUGUAAUUUGUAGAGGAAGCUUUAGGCGCGGCACCUUCUGAGUCCCCUGGAACGGGGCGCCACAGAGGGUGAGAGCCCCGUAUAGUUGGAUGCCUAGCCUGUGUAAAGCUCCUUCGACGAGUCGAGUAGUUUGGGAAUGCUGCUCAAAAUGGGAGGUAAAUUUCUUCUAAAGCUAAAUACCGGCCAGAGACCGAUAGCGCACAAGUAGAGUGAUCGAAAGAUGAAAAGCACUUUGAAAAGAGGGUUAAAUAGCACGUGAAAUUGUUGAAAGGGAAGCGCUUGUGACCAGACUUGCGCCGGGCGGAUCAUCCGGUGUUCUCACCGGUGCACUCCGCCCGGCUCAGGCCAGCAUCGGUUCUCGCGGGGGGAUAAAGGCCCCGGGAACGUAGCUCCUCCGGGAGUGUUAUAGCCCGGGGCGUAAUGCCCUCGCGGGGACCGAGGACCGCGCAUCUCUGCAA